rnacentral:rRNA from 1 species
AUCGAACGCUGGCGGCAUGCUUUACACAUGCAAGUCGGACGAGUGGCGAACGGGUGAGUAACGCAUCGGAACGUACCGAGUAACGGGGGAUAACUGUCCGAAAGGACAGCCAAUACCGCAUACUAUUCGAGCGGCCGAUGUCUGAUUAGCUGCUGGGCGGGGUCAAGGCCAACCGAGGCGACGAUCAGUAGCGGGUCUGAGAGGAUGAACGGCAACAUGGGGACUGAGACAGGUCCCGGACUCCUACGGAGGGCAGCGGUGGGGAAUUUUGGACAAGGGGCGCAAGCCGGAUCCAGCCAGGCCGCGUAGCUGAGGAAGGCCUUCGGGUUGUAAAGGACUUUUGUCAGGGAGGCGGUACCUAAAGAAUAAGCACCGGCUAACUACGUGCCAGCAGCCGCGGUAAUAC